AGACAUCAGCAAAAUGAGACACACCUGUGCAGGUAAUUAAGGGGGUGGGGCCAAUACGUUUAAAGACAUGAAGAGGAAAGCAGAGCAAGCAAAAAGCAGAAAAUAUGCAGGACAAACAGGAAGCUGGAGCAGGCUGGCUGCGAAGUCUCAGGAGUGGGACAACAGCGUUGGGGAGCAGCGGUGCAGUGUUAGGCCGGUUGCAAUUAAGCUGAGGGCUGUGUGUUGUGGUCACAUGGCAAAAGAGAGAGACCCAGCAGUGUGGAUACACCGUGGCGAUAACUGACUGCAGAUCUGGCAUUGCUCUUUAGGCUCCGAGUGGCAGUACUGUCCUCCCCUUCACACACCAGCCAGCACCAGAACAACUGGAGGAAGCAACAGAGUGAGACAUGAGACCCACAGAGGGAAGCAGCCGGAGAUCCGGGCCCAAUACGCAGCACAAAGAAUGGAGGCCAAAUUACACCCACCGAGCCCAGCUACACAGAGCCGGGGGAAGCUGUCCAGAUGUCAAGCGGCACCAGCAGUGUAAGGACAGCAGGCCUCGGAUGGAGUGACUGGAUGGGAAAACAGUGAUGGAGUCACAAGGGAUGCAGUGCCAUAAGAGACUUAUUAUCUUUUACCUUGUAUUUAUUAGACCCUUUUUCUUUGUUUGUUUUCUUGGUUUUAUGUUUGUAGUUUUAUUGUUUUACUGUAGGAGAACACAAGUGGCUCAAGUGGUAUUGUCAAUGAAACUUCAACCAGGCUACAAUUGUACAUACAUUGUACUCACCAAAGUAACUGUUGAGAAAUGGGAACAUGGUGACAUAAACUCACUGGGGCAUGAAACAAAAUAAGUAAGAUUAUCAGACAGGUUGUUAACAAGCAGAUUAUUGAAAUUACUUUAUCUGGGGGUAAAACUGAAAGUUAGUUCACCCAGAAGUCACAAGGAAAACUAUAAAAUGAGGGAUUCCUGUUGUAAGCAGGGUAGGUCAAAGUGAAACCAUGAGAGAGUCUGGAAACUGUACAAUGGACAGUUAGUGUCUAAUCAUUUUACCCUCUGCCGAUCAGGACACUGCCCAUUGUUCUGAUGGCCCCCUGAUUGGCUACUCUUUGUUGCUUUGUUAGGAUUAGGGGUAGAUGGUUGGUUAGAUGGGAAUCAUAAUAAUGGGCCGUCGUAAUAAUGGUAUGGCACCCUGUAAAUAAGUCUGGCUUACCUUGGGGUUUGUUUAAAACCUAAUGAAGACUAUUUGUUUCUCAUUGUGUUCAUCAGCAGAUGGUGUUUGUUCAGUUGUAAUGAAGAUGAAAAAGGUGAGUCGUGGUGAAAAGCUCAGAAAAAGCAAGUAAAUUGGAGUUAACCUCGAGUUAAGAUUAUUUUGUGAUUUUGUCUAUUUCCAAGGUCAAGAAUGAGCAUAAAUGUUCAUUCUUGACCAAGACCCAAGGUGUGAAAAGACAGAAUUAUUCUUUCAGAUAGCUGCAUUAAGAUAAAAUGUCACCGUCACAAUGCUCAGUCCCUUCAGGAUCUUGUAAUGAAAUUGUGAGAGAAAGUAAAACUUACAAAAGUUGUUACGUUGUUCAGGUUAGAAUUAAAUUGCAUUGUUUGAAAUGUGGCCCAGUGUUUUGUGCAGGAAAUUGAAAAUUUGUGGUGACAGGUCAAAAUUGCAAGGUCGUGCAGGAUUCACAGGGAUUGGUUAAAUUUGCAUUAGUUGUUGCGAUUGCAAACUACAAUUUUCAGGAGAGACUUAAUGCUUGUGUCAUCACUGUAGCACAAGUCACUCAGACUGUCACACAGAAAUUCAAUUUUAAUAUCCUUCUACCAAAGACAGGACUACAUUUCCUCCACAGCGGGAGUAGCCAGCAGGUAAGCGCGCUCUCUCUCUCUCUCUCGCUCUCGCUCUCGCUCUCUCUCUCCCUCCCUCUCUCCCUCUCCCUCUCUCCUUCAGACUUCCUGUAACAAGUAAAAUUUAUUGGUUACACUGUAUCAUGUCACUGGUAAAAGAGUGAAUUACAAGGAACGCUUUUGAUGAUCUUUCUGAUUUUCUACAGCAAUUUAAAAGCUAUCUGUCUAUGUAUGAGCUGUUGAAAUGAUAGGCAGUAAUUUAAUCUGUGCUCCUGAAAUUGCACUUUGAGGGAGACGGAGAGGGGGAGUGGGAAAAGUAUAGCGUGAGAUGUCUCAUGGGUCAUCUUUUUAGGUUGACAUGAGCUGAAUCAAAGCUGCCAAAUCUGCUACUUGAGUUUGUGGUAGUCAAAUAUUAAUAUCAUAAAACAAUAAUGUGAGGGAAACUGCACUGUGCUGUUCAACACCCUGUAGCAGGAACCUCAGUAGUUACCUCUGAUCUACAAAGCUUAACCUUGUACUCUCAACAGUGAGAGAGAGGUUCAUCACAGUAGAGUGUGUCAUUGUAAUGUAAAAUUAUAAAAAAUAAAAUAUGUUCUGCUUCAUAGUGGUUAUAUAGUGGUAUUCAGCCAUGCAGAUAGUUUUAGUUUGAUCCUUCUGUCUCUGAGAUUUCUGCCACCACCUGAAGAAUGUCCAACAAAAUGCCAUUUUCAGUCAUCCCUUCCUACCGAACCAUAUCCAUCCAUUGUAACAUGCUUUUUAAAAUUAGAACUCGUAAAACAUUGCAAAUCCCACAGCCUGAAAAUUAAAAUUGGAAUAAUAGCAGUAAAAGUAAAUAUGCUAGUUGCUAACAGAUUAGUUACCAUGCCAGCGGUGGCUACUGCCGUCACUUGAACCUCAUCUUGCAGGUUGUAGCUAACUAACAGAGCUUCUAGCAUGGCUGUAGACUGGCUGUGGGUAAUAUCAUUCACCUCCACUGUAUUGGAGUCGAGGCAGAAAUUUCAGACAGCAAAAAAAAAAAAAAAAAAGCUUCAAAUAAAUCUAACAAAAUAAACUUUGGGUGAACAUGCCCUUUAAAAAGUGGGAUUUUAUCACAGGUAGAUACAAUGUGAAGGUUACGUUUCUAAAACAAACAUCUUUCACCAAAAGUGUACUUCUAGCCCAGUGUAAUUAUUUUGUUUAUUUUCAGCCAUGGAGUUAAACUAUAGUGUGGCAGCCAGCCAGGCACACAGCCACAGCAGGAAGUUUGUGUUUGCUUGUCAAGCAGUCGGAGGCAAAGUGACUCCACGGUCCUGGAACAGCGGUCUUGUCUCUGACGCUUCCCCUCAUGUUGUCUUGCUCUCAGCAGCGCACAUUAACAUUUUAUGGAGGAGCAGUCAAUGCGUCUACCAAAAAAGAACAUUUAAUUGGAAUUGGUGGAAAAUUUUGCCAUCCUGACAUCGGCCAUUCAUGUUCAUUUCACCUCCCUCAGGAGCUCCUGCUCCAUUGUUGUUGGAAUCACAGCGCUGUCCACUUAAAUGUCAAAUGGCUGCUUCCUUUACUUUGCAUAGUGAUUAUAAUGACUCAUCCUCUUACAGAAGAGCUAAUCUUAGCAUCCAUUUAGAAAAGAAGUGUUCCACCAUUAUGACAAGUGACCCCUAUUUCUUUUAAUGGAAACGGCUUCCUGCUUGAAUCAGAGAAUGGCCAGCAGGCACAUAAUUCAAAUACUGUCCAGAAAAGUGCUGUGCCUGCAGAUUACAAAGAAGGCCUUGAACUGCAUGAAAUAUUAAAGCAUUAAGACCACAUGAGGAAGUAAGCCACAAGAUCUUGCCAAUGUCUAGACACAAAUGAGAGGAUGAGAAUUUCAAGUUGGUAACAUUGCAAGAAAUGUCUGGCCUUCAUCCUCCAUCGGAGGCAAUGAAUAACCACCAGAAAAUGGACUGUCCAUUCAGGGUUUGGGAGACUAAUGGAAGCAAGAUGCUACAAAAGAAAUGUAGGAAGGGGUGAAUAUCCAAAAGACAUGCUGCUAUUUUAAAAAUCGAGGGUGCAUUUAAAGGAUAAUUAAAUCCUAAAUUAGAGUAAUAAAUGUAAAUCCACUAACAUUUGAAUAAUUGUAUUUCUUAAGUGAUAAAGACCAUACCAAUAAAAGGAGAAAGAAAACGACAAAAGGACAUAAAUGCACAGAGAAAGAAAUGAAAGAGCAGCCAGAAGAGAAAGAGAGAAAGAAAGUAAAACAGACAAAAUGAAAGGAGGCACAAAGAGCAGCAAUGAAAAAGGAGAGCAAAAACUCAGAUCGGGGAUAAUCAAGCGUGAGGCAGUUGUGCAAAAUUUACAGCCGUAAUUUGGAAUCCCACAGCCCUGGCAUCUGGAUGAAGAGGGAGGCACAACAGAUUCUCAUUUGCCAGAAACAGUCCAUGCUUGGUGGACGUUUCUGUCACUGCUUCCCUCUCCCUCCUCCUCCUCUGUCUGUCUCUGGAGUGCCUCUCCAUCCUGCACGGUGCACAAAUGAAACCUGCGUCACAAGACAGGCAGCAUAUCUCCACUAUACCUGAGCAGCCAGCCUUGAAGACACAACGCCGUGAGGGAUCAUUUCAAUUGUGGAGGACAAAAAGGAAAAUGUGAAUUGAUAGACUCGGCAGACAAAGAGAAGGACGUUUUUCUUAUAGGGUUUGUUAAGCGCCUACUAAACUGCCAUGCCCUUUUGAAUUUUCUUUAAAGAAACAGUUUGUGGCAUCUUUAUAUGCAAAUUUUCUCCAGGGAAUAUUUUUAUCCAUUUCGAGGGUCCCUACAUGUGGAUUUGGUUGCCAGGGAUUAUAGAUAUGCUCUAUUUCAGGGCCCCAAGAGAGCAGUUUCCAUGGGGCCCAGGCUUACUUGCAGCAUCCCUGUAGGGAGAGACUACAAGGCAGAGACCACAGUGGUAAUUUAUUGUCCUGUUUAAUUUCCCACAAGGGCACUGCCGAAACCAAAAGAGAUAAAGUCCAUCUAAUGUACAUGUAUUUACACAUUUAACUGGUUAAUGAACUCUCUUAGUCGAUGACAUUUACCUGCACUACAUCAAAAUUAUCCAGUCAUAUGUUUUCACAGGCUUGCACAGGACUAAGUAGGUCCUCCCGAGACAUCUUGAAGGGUUUCCAGGUCAGAUAGGACGUAUGGUUUCCUCAAGUGAGUUGUGCUUGCACCUGGGCUCUCCUCCCAGGUGGACAUUCCCAGAAUACUUACAAGGGGAGGCGUCCCAUGAAGGCACCUUAAGAUGCCUGAACCACCUCAGCUAGCUUCUUUCAACAUGAGAGAGAAUGAAUUCUGGGAUUCCACUUGCUAUCUGAGCUCUUCAACUCAUCUCUAACACUAUGUCCCUAAGGCCUUGUUCAGACCAGCUUUAGCCCUGUGUGAAAAAACGUGGCCCUUAUUCUUUUGAAGAUGUGAGCCCCGGUAACACAGUGGGGAUAUUGAUGCAGAGGGCUGCAGCAAAAAAAUAAAUCAUCUGGCAAAAAUGUUGACCCAUGCUAAACUUUUGGCAAAGUCUGGGCGCAUAUAUAUAUUUCAUGUCUCACCAGUACAAACGUAGGCCCUUGCAUUGUUUUAACACAGGGCUGUUUUUGUUUAGAAUACUUGAAUACAUUACUGACCUCAAAUGGACAGGAGCAAUUGGACAAUUGUAGUUAUGUGCCUAAGUCAGAAAAAAAAUACUUAAGGAAAAGAAGAAACUUCACAUUUUUGGUGCAAUAAUAUGCUUCAGGUCACACCCACCCUGUGAAGGAAACUCUGACCGUGUCUAACAAUUUGAAAUCGCACUACCAGAAGCAGCAUGAACAUAAGAGAAGUUUGAAAUAUCAAUUGACUGGUAAAGACUCAGGUUCAGCUCCCUCUUCACCUUGAUAAUCCAGAAAAAUAACCCUGACAUUCUCUUGUAGUCCGCCCUGCAAGCAAGACCUUGAGAUAUACACAAUUUUCACAAGAUCUCGAGGGAGCAAUCCACUUUUGAACAAUGAUGGCAAAGUUUGUGGUGCUGACCAGUACAGAAGUUGAAGAGGCCAGAAGAACUCCACCAUCAAUAAAAAGCAAAGGAUUUCUGUUUAUAAACUUCAACUACCUUGAUAGACUGGGAUGCACUAUAUUCAUGUAUAAACAUGCUCUAAAAAUACAGUACAAGACAAGCUUCCCCUUACUAUACAGUAUCUGCAGACAGUUGCAGCUGAAAUACAUCACAAAUGUGUCUGUCAUUGACAAUUAUUUGCAUUUGAAAUACUACAUACUGUUGUUUCAGGUCAGGCUGACUUGCCGUCAUACUGGAAAAUCAAUCACAGAUCUUUUUUAAUGCUGCAAGUCUCAAAUGAAAUUAAAAGAGGUUGAGUUAUGAGCCAAGAAAGUUUCUCUUGUACUCUACAACAACGCCAUUUCUUACUGAGCACAUUUCUGUACUGGACAAUACCAGGAUCAUCAAAUUCUUUCAGUUCUAAUCUGUCUGAGCGUUUGAUCACAGCCCAUUACUUCAAAGACAUUUUUCUCUUGUACUUCAUGAAUAUAACAGGAAGGUAAUUUGUAAAGUACAACAACAAUCUACACCGGGACAAAGUCUGCUGUCGAUAACGUUUAAAAAAAAGCUAAACUAGGGGCACGUUUCUGCACUACUCAGUGAUAUUCAUUUGAAUUAAUGGCCAAGUGGUGCAUAUUCACUUCACAGCUUUCAAACUCUGGUUACCCAGAAGAACAGCCUGCAGUUUAAUUAGAAAGCUCUUGGCUUCAUUGUGAGGGGGUGAGGGAAAGGGGAGGAGGAGGAGGAGGAAGCAGUCACUGAUUGAGCACUCUGUCUUCAAACCCAUUUAGUAGACAAGAACACAGGAAGAAACCUUAAGGAGGAGGAUGAUAAUACGCAGAGGAGGGUGAGAAAGUAGGAGAUGUGUGAUUGUAUCAGAAUCCUAACAAGGGAGAAGAUGAGAACACUUCCUGUAAAGCAUGAGCGUGCAGGUAUUUCAUUCAACCAGGUGAUUCCACUUAUAAGCACACCUGCUGACGGAGGAGGAAGAGCUUGUCAGUGACAUCAGUGGCCUGUGGGACCAUGCCUAAAAGCUGUUGCCUCACAGUAUUCACUUUCAACAUAAAAAAAACAAUGUGGUGUACUGGGAUUUUCUUUAUUUCCCCAAAGACAGAAGACAGAAGAGAUCUGUAGCUUCAGGCCAUCCGCAGAGAGAAUGAACAUGGUAAACUGUAGGACCCGGCCAGUCAAUACAUGUAUGUCUGUGGCAAACACUUCAUCAGAGGUCACUUAAUGAUGUUACUGACUAAAUGACCUGUGUGCCGAUUGUGCCUGUAGAGGCGAAUGAGAAAAGAACUUUAGUGACGGUGUAAUUAAAGUACUACUGUUAUAAUAAUGGCCCUACCAUAAAACACAUGCUUUUAGAAUUGAGUCUGUGCACUCAAAAGACCACCAGGAGCAGAAAGUAAAAGGUAGGAAGUGGAGCUAAAAACUGUUCUGGACUCUCAUCAAUCCCUAUUUCUUUCAUUCUCUAUAUAACGUUUCUGACUGUUUGGCAAUGACAUAAAAUAAUUGUUUGCCUGACUGACCAUAGGAUUUAGGCUCCUAAAAGCUAAAAAGCAAUACAAUGUUCUUUUUUGAUGCUAUUUAAUUGGCAAAGACUUUUGAAUUAACAUGUACCGCCAGUCAAAUUAAAGGGACUGGCGAUCCUAAAAAUGGUGGGGGCAUGUCGCAAAGGUACCCUGAUGGUUUACUCCAAUAGUCUUCAGGUGAAAUAAAAACCUUGAAUUCUGCACCAGUCUAAUGUGAUUUCUUUCUUCUCAGCAAGGACUCCCAGCACGUUGUCACAGUUUGGCUUGCAGGGAUCUAAACAAGCUAAAUAUGUUGGCUGUACAGUACGCGGCUGUGCUGCCCUGUGGAUAACAAGCCCACCGAUGGCACCAACGCCACCACCGGCCUUACUGGACCUGCAGCAGUAUCGACAGCCAAUGAACAACUACAAAUGUAAGCAGCUUACCCAGGCUUCGGUUGCCCCGUGGAGUAGUUUGGAGGAAAAGUGUCAGAAAGUGUCGGCAUCCACAGUAUGUGUUCAUUUCUACUGCAGCUGAACAGCUUGACAUCAGAGCCUCAAGACCCAAAGCUUUAUCUGACUAAGGCUGAGCUGAAUCGCUCAUUAAAGGGUCAGUUCAUCAAAAUGACCAAAAAUAAGCACUUUUUCUCACUUACCACUUCUGAAGCUGUAUUAAUAAAGCCAUACAGAUUGACAGGUUUGGAGACGUGUUUAUGAAAUUUCUGUCUUUAUCCCAAUAAACUGGAAGUGAAAGAAAAACUGUUUGACAUCCAGC